GAAAUGCGAUAAGUAGUGUGAAUUGCAGAAUUCAGUGAAUCAUCGAAUCUUUGAACGCACAUUGCGCCCCUUGGUAUUCCAUGGGGCAUGCCUGUUCGAGCGUCAUUUGUACCCUCAAGCUCUGCUUGGUGUUGGGUGUUUGUCCCGUCUCCGCGCGUGGACUCGCCCCAAAGUGAUUGGCAGCCGGCGUACUGGUCCCGGAGCGCAGCACAUGUCGCGCAAACGAGUGCCUUGGUACGGCGGCGUCCAUAAGCCCCUCUCUCACGCUCUUGACCUCGGAUCAGGUAGGGAUACCCGGUGAACUUGAGC
rnacentral:misc_RNA from 1 species